UAUGAACCGUUAUAACCGGCGAUACCCGAAUGGGGAAACCCAGUGUGAUUCGUCACACUAUCAUUAACUGAAUCCAUAGGUUAAUGAGGCGAACCGGGGGAACUGAAACAUCUAAGUACCCCGAGGAAAAGAAAUCAACCGAGAUUCCCCCAGUAGCGGCGAGCGAACGGGGAGGAGCCCAGAGCCUGAAUCAGCAUGUGUGUUAGUGGAAGCGUCUGGAAAGGCGCGCGAUACAGGGUGACAGCCCCGUACACAAAAGCGCAUGUGCUGUGAGCUCGAUGAGUAGGGCGGGACACGUGGUAUCCUGUCUGAAUAUGGGGGGACCAUCCUCCAAGGCUAAAUACUCCUGACUGACCGAUAGUGAACCAGUACCGUGAGGGAAAGGCGAAAAGAACCCCGGCGAGGGGAGUGAAAAAGAACCUGAAACCG
rnacentral:rRNA from 1 species